rnacentral:miRNA from 1 species
UGCUUGAACCCAGGGAAGUUGAGGCUGCAGUAAGCUGUGACCAUGCCACUGCACUCCAGCCUGAGUGACAGAGCAAGACCUUGUCUCA